CCUACGGGUGGCAGCAGUCGAGAAUCAUUCACAAUGGGGGAAACCCUGAUGGUGCGACGCCGCGUGGGGGAAUGAAGGUCUUCGGAUUGUAAACCCCUGUCAUGUGGGAGCAAAUUAAAAAGAUAGUACCACAAGAGGAAGAGACGGCUAACUCUGUGCCAGCAGCCGCGGUAAUACAGAGGUCUCAAGCGUUGUUCGGAAUCACUGGGCGUAAAGCGGGCGUAGGCUGUUUCGUAAGUCGUGUGUGAAAGGUGCGGGCUCAACCCGCGGACGGCACAUGAUACUGCGAGACUAGAGUAAUGGAGGGGGAACCGGAAUUCUCGGUGUAGCAGUGAAAUGCGUAGAUAUCGAGAGGAACACUCGUGGCGAAGGCGGGUUCCUGGACAUUAACUGACGCUGAGGCACGAAGGCCAGGGGAGCGAAAGGGAUUAGAUACCCGUGUAGUC
rnacentral:rRNA from 1 species